AGCGAACGCUGGCGGCAUGCUUAACACAUGCAAGUCGCACGGGCAGCAAUGUCCGUGGCGGACGGGUUAGUAACGCGUAUGAACGUGUCCUGAGGUGGGUGACAACCCCGGGAAACUGGUGCUAAUACCGCAUAUUGGCUGAGGCCCAAAGCCGAGAGGCGCCUUUGGAGCUGCCUGCGUCCGAUUAGGUAGUUGGUUGGGUAAAUGCCUACCAAGCCUGCGAUCUGUAGCUGGUCUGAGAGGACGAACAGCCACACUGGGACUGAGACACGGCCCAGACUGCGACGGGAGGCAGAAGAGGGGAAUAAAGGAGAAUGGGAGAAAGACUGAGCAAGCAAGGCCGCGUGGGUGAAGAAGGUCUUCGGAAAGUAAAGACCUUUCGACGGGGACGAUGAUGAAGGUACCCGUAGAAGAAGCCCCGGCUAACUUCGUG
rnacentral:rRNA from 1 species